CCUAGGGGUGCUGCAGUAGGGAAUCUUCCACAAUGGGCGAAAGCCUGAUGGAGCAACGCCGCGUGGGUGAAGAAGGUCUUCGGAUCGUAAAACCCUGUUGUUAGAGAAGAAAGUGCGUGAGAGUAACUGUUCACGUUUCGACGGUAUCUAACCAGAAAGCCACGGCGAACUACGUUCCAGCAGCCGCGGUAAUACGUAGGUGGCAAGCGUUAUCCGGAUUUAUUGGGCGUAAAGGGAACGCAGGCGGUCUUUUAAGUCGGAGGUGAAAGCCUUCGGCUUAACCGGAGUAGUGCAUUGGAAACUGGGAGACUUGAGUGCAGAAGAGGAGAGUGGAACUCCAGGUGUAGGGGUGAAAUGCGUAGAUAUAUGGAAGAACACCAGUGGCGAAAGCGGCUCUCUGGUCUGUAACUGACGCUGAGGUUCGAAAGCGUGGGUAGCAAACAGGAUUAGAUACCCUGGUAGUC
rnacentral:rRNA from 1 species